rnacentral:tRNA from 1 species
GAAGGUAUAUCUCAGUGGGCAGAGCUCAUGCUCAACAUGCAUGAGGUCCUGGGUUCAAUCCCCAGGACCUCCU